GACAUUGAGGGAUCUUGAGCCUUGGACAUUACGUGAUAUUCCUAAUAUUUCAAAGUAUUACAUUGUUUAUCUUAAGAAAUUUAGACUGAAAUUGACUGGAGAAACUAAUCAAAACUAUCAUCACAUCCCAGCAAAAAACUGAAGUGCCAGGUGAGAAUGCAAUGAGAAAGCGCAGCCAUGUGCUAUCCGGGAAGAGGGCUUUUGCCACAAACUGACUGUGUUGGUACCCUUAUCUCCAGCCCUCAGCCUCAAGAACUUUAAACUCAGAAAAUAACAGUUCUUGGCACUUCAGCACUUCAUAUCAUCUCGAAGGUGAGCCUAAGAAUCUCACAGAGCACACAGACAUGAGUCAGAAUCCAUACCCUGAGCUUCUCAGGAACUGUCCCAACAUAAUCCAGGCAGAAGAAUGGCUACCUCUCU